rnacentral:lncRNA from 1 species
GCACAUGGAGGUUCCCAGGCUAGGGGUCAAAUCAGAGCUGUAGCCGCUGGCCUACACCACAGCCACAGCAAUGCCAAAUCUGAGCCAUGUCUGUGACCUACACCACAGCUCACACCAACACUGGAUCCUUAACCCACUGAGCAAGGCCAGGAAUCAAACCUGUGUCCUCAUGGAUGCUAGUCAGAUUUGUUUCCACUGGGCCAUGAUGGGAACUCCAAAAGACAAAUUUUAUGAGAAAAAAAUACUUCAAAGAUGUAAAGUAAGAGACUUUAGUUAUGAUAUCCUACAAGACAGCACAUUUACAAUUUAAGUAGCUUCCCUUUUUACCUAUAAUUUAAAGCAUAUUUUGAAUCUAUCAAUAUGGAGUUCGAGUCUGAUGGAUAACUUUAAAUAGUUCAGAAAACAUUGAGACAAGAUUUAAGUAUUUCUGGGAGCAAAAGGAAUUAGUUUCUAUGAUACAUAAAUACUACACGAUACUAUGAAUGUAGGUAGUUAUUGCUUUUUGUAUAUUAUGUAAUUUAAUCCCACAGCAUACUUCUGACUUAACCUCUGAUAAGAGAGAGAGGAGUUCCCAUCGUGGCGCAGUGGUUAACGAAUCCGACUAGGAACCAUGAGGUUGCGGGUUCGAUCCCUGCCCUUGCUCAGUGGGUUAACGAUCCGGCGUUGCAGUGAGCUGUGGUGUAGGUUGCAGAUACGGCUCGGAUCCCGCGUUGCUGUGGCUCUGGCGUAGGCCGGUGGCUACAGCUCCGAUUCAACCCCUAGCCUGGGAACCUCCAUAUGCCGCGGGAGGGGCCCAAGAAAUAGCAACAACAACAACAACAACAAAAGACAAAAAAAAAAAAAAAAAAAAAGAGAGAGAGAGAGAUGCUGCCUUUCUCAAACCUUACAUUUCCAAUCUGGAAGAUAAAAGUUGCAGUAAUAAUGACGAAGCAGAAAAAAUGCUUAACAUCUUUUCCUUAAAAUGUGCAGUGAAUCAAUUCACCCCUGUAAGAGAAGGAUGAAGUAGAAAUAGCACAUCCAAUUAGCAACCUUAAGAAAGUGAAUUAACACCUGCUUUCUAAUGUGUUAUAAGCCAGACACGGUGGAGUCUCCAUUUUGCAGAGGCUGGGAGCCUGAUACAGAGAGGUCAGUGAUGGUAAAUUACUGGGAUGCGCCAUGCAAAAUUGUCAGCCGAGGCACCAUGGUGGGAAACUUACAUUUCUCCACAAAACAGAAGAGGGAAGACAAAAGAAGGUCAAACACAUAUGGUGGUCAGUCUUUCCCUGGUUUGUCUAUCCCUUUUGGACAGGAGUGCUAUAUAAUUCAUUUUUUAAUUUCCAUAAUGGCAGAAUGCUUAGACACAUGGAAGGCUUUCAACAUAUGUUUAACAAAACUGAGUGAGCAAAGAAGUUGAGGGUUACAAGCCAAUAUAACCCAUGUAUUUGAGAGUUAAUAUUUCUACAAUUCGUUCUAAUCUUGUAUCAAGCCAAGGAUAAUUAGUAAAUGCUGCAAACUAUUUAUUGUGAAAUUAGUAAAUUAUUCACUCAAACAGUAUCUGAUGCCAUAGAUGUCUCUGAGAGCUUUUCAUCAGUGUACUAAACUGUGCAUAUCUGUUUGUAGAUUCUAAGAAACAUCUGUUUCUGAAAGCUUUGUAAAUUCUUUCCUCUUACCAGAUAAAAUUAUUUUGUGAGUUAUUAGGCAUACACACACAGACAAACAUACACACACAUACAUACAUCUAUACACAUAAAUAUAUGUAUAUGGGUAUGUACAUAUACACAGAUGUAUUUUCUAUACAUGUAUAUUUGCAUAUAUGGUAUAUGCGUGUAUAAACUUUUUGCAAUACAAAAGUGUGGUUCAUACUCUGCGUAGCACUUCCCUCUAACAUACAUAUUGAUAAAAAUUCACUGUGCAAAACUAAACAGAAUACAAAAGAGGUUAUAAAAACCUAAACCAAUAAUGUAUACUGUGUGUUUCCUUGAUUAUCCUGCUCUAGAAAAAGUCUCACAAGGCAAAUCCUACAGCUGCAAGGAAUUAUUGCUGUUAAAUUGGUAGCGGUCACCUGAAAUGUGGCACAGUCGUGACAGUGGAAUGCAUGUCUUCUAAAAUCCCUGUGUAACAAACAAAUUUUCAUAUUGAUUGAAAAUAUAUUUUAUAGAUUUCUACAAACUCGAUUGUACAUCCUCUAAUUAUCUAGAUCAGAAGAUUCUUCCCACUCCCAGAAAUGUUUCAUAAAAAUUUUUCUGCAUCAUCAUCGCAGAUGGUGUUUUCUCUGAAAACAGCCACCUGCACUUAUCCUAGAGUCUACCCUGGAGGCUUCUGAGCCGCCUGCCAUCCU